GACGGUUGUGGGAUUGUUCGAUGGCCUUGGAAUCACUAUGUCGGUUUAGUCGAUGACGGGUUGAGGUGUUCGUCCCCCCUUGGACACCUAGAUGGCAAGAUGAGAACCCGUUAUCGAAGCAGAGGUGACCCGAUCGACGUGGUCACCCGUUGUCCCGAUUGACUGUUUCGAUUUUGUUGGCAACGAUGGACCGGCCCGAUUGACGGUUUCAAUUUGUGGGAAACGAUGGACUGACCCGAUUGACGGUUUUGAUUUUCGCAUCGUGCGGUGCUUUCCUUGGAACGAAUUUCGGCUAUAGGUUGCAUUUUUGGCCUUUGUGCUAGGGAUGUGGCUAUUAGUUGGGUGGUUUUAGGGAUUGUUGAUCGUAAAGGUGCAUGAGUUGUGUUUGGUUUGUUACGUGUCGUUGGCUGUCUGCUUGUGCAGCAACGUCGACACGGGCAGACUUUUUCAUUUAUUGUGAAAGCAUAUGCUUUGCUUUCACAUGUUGUGGGUUUCUUGCAUUGUGUUCCUAAAUUGUGGCAUUUUAUGGUUUGAACGAUGUGUCUUUGAUCAUGUCACUCAUAUGGGGUGCCAUGUGAAAAAGCAUGAAGCUGUCUCUUUGAUCCACUUCGUCUUUGUCUUUGCAUUGAUGUUGUGGCCCGUUGAGAAAGCUGGUCUCAUGGAUGCAGAGCCUCACUCGGUGAUUUGGUUUUAUUGACCAAUUCGGUUGCCAUAACUAGAUGUUUUUGCCUCUCCUUUAUAUGACGGUCCAUUGUG
rnacentral:misc_RNA from 1 species